AUUGAACGCUGGCGGCAUGCUUUACACAUGCAAGUCGAACGGUAACAGGCCUUCGGGUGCUGACGAGUGGCGAACGGGUGAGUAAUGCAUCGGAACGUGCCCAAUCGUGGGGGAUAACGUAGCGAAAGUUACGCUAAUACCGCAUAAGCCCUGAGGGGGAAAGUGGGGGACCGCAAGGCCUCACGCGAAUGGAGCGGCCGAUGUCAGAUUAGCUAGUUGGUGGGGUAAAGGCUCACCAAGGCGACGAUCUGUAGCGGGUCUGAGAGGAUGAUCCGCCACACUGGGACUGAGACACGGCCCAGACUCCUACGGGAGGCAGCAGUGGGGAAUUUUGGACAAUGGGCGCAAGCCUGAUCCAGCCAUGCCGCGUGUGGGAUGACGGCCUGG
rnacentral:rRNA from 1 species